CUUCCGUAAGGUGAACCUGCGGAAGGAUCAUUACCGAGUGAGGGCCCUCUGGGUCCAACCUCCCACCCGUGUUUAUCGUACCUUGUUGCUUCGGCGGGCCCGCCUCACGGCCGCCGGGGGGCAUCCGCCCCCGGGCCCGCGCCCGCCGAAGACACACAAACGAACUCUUGUCUGAAGAUUGCAGUCUGAGUACUUGACUAAAUCAGUUAAAACUUUCAACAACGGAUCUCUUGGUUCCGGCAUCGAUGAAGAACGCAGCGAAAUGCGAUAAGUAAUGUGAAUUGCAGAAUUCAGUGAAUCAUCGAGUCUUUGAACGCACAUUGCGCCCCCUGGUAUUCCGGGGGGCAUGCCUGUCCGAGCGUCAUUGCUGCCCUCAAGCACGGCUUGUGUGUUGGGCUCUCGCCCCCCGCUUCCGGGGGGCGGGCCCGAAAGGCAGCGGCGGCACCGCGUCCGGUCCUCGAGCGUAUGGGGCUUCGUCACCCGCUCUGUAGGCCCGGCCGGCGCCCGCCGGCGAACACCAUCAAUCUUAACCAGGUUGAC
rnacentral:rRNA from 1 species